UGUAGCUUAGUGGUAGAGUUCUUGCCUAGCAUGCAAGAAGCCCUGGUUUCGAUCCCAGCA
rnacentral:tRNA from 1 species